rnacentral:misc_RNA from 1 species
UUUCCGUAGGUGAACCUGCGGAAGGAUCAUUCAUAAUAAGUGUUUUAUGGCACUUUUUAAAUCCAUAUCCACCUUGUGUGCAAUGUCAGAGUUGAUUUUUCUCUCGAGAGGAUCAGCCCCAAACAUCAACUAUAUCUCAACUCUUUGUCUGAAAAAUAUUAUGAAUAAAACAAUUCAAAAUAUAACUUUCAACAACGGAUCUCUUGGCUCUC